GUGAAUCAUCAAAUUUUUGAACGCAAAUUGCACUUUCUGGUAUUCCGGAAAGUAUGCCUGUUUGAGGGUCAGUUAAAUAAAAAUCGGUGUUGUUGCUGCCUUUCGUGGUGACGAGUUGGAUUUGAGUCGUUUUACCUUAGGUUAAGUGACUGAAAAUUUUGCAUGAUAUUCGAACGUAUUUAAUGCGUUUACGUUCGUUUGAGUUAUCGAAGGCUUGUUA
rnacentral:misc_RNA from 1 species